GGGAGUGAAAGAGAACCUGAAACCCUGCACUUACAAGCUGUGGGAGCACAUUACUUGUGUGACCGCGUACUUUUUGUAGAACGGGCCAACGAGUUACGUUAAGUAGCAAGGUUAAGCACUUAAGGUGUGGAGCCGUAGCGAAAGCGAGUCUUAAAUGGGCGUCUAGUUACCCGACGUAGACCCGAAACCGGGCGACCUAUCCAUGAGCAGGUUGAAGCGAAAGUAAAAUUUCGUGGAGGACCGAACCCACGAGCGUUGAAAAGCUCGGGGAUGACCUGUGGAUAGCGGUGAAAUUCCAAUCGAGCCCGGAGAUAGCUGGUUCUCUCCGAAAUAGCUUUAGGGCUAGCCUCAAGCGUAGAGAAACGGAGGUAGAGCACUGAAUGUCCUAGGGGGUAUUGCACUUACCGAAGACUAUCAAACUCCGAAUACCGUAUACUUAUGCUUGGGAGUCAGACUAUGGGUGAUAAGAUUCAUAGUCAAAAGGGCAACAGCCCAGAUCGUCAGCUAAGGUCCCUAAAUGUACGUUAAGUGGUAAAGGAUGUGGGAUUGCACAGACAACCAGGAUGUUGGCUUAGAAGCAGCCACUCAUUUAAAGAGUGCGUAAUAGCUCACUGGUCGAGUGAUCCUGCGCCGAAAAUUUCCGGGGCUAAAACGUACUACCGAAGCUACGGCAUCAUUUAUGAUGGGUAGGAGAGCUUCCCAUACGGGUUGAAGCAUGACCGAAAGGACAUGUGGACUGUAUGGGAGUGAGAAUGUUGGCAUGAGUAGCGAGAUGUGGGUGAGAAUCCCACAGGCCGUAAACCCAAGGUUUCCAGGGGAAGGUUCGUCCGCCCUGGGUUAGUCAGGACCUAAGCCGAGGCCGAAAGGCGUAGGUGAUGGACAACAGGUUGAUAUUCCUGUACCACCAAUAACCGUUUGAGAAAUGGGAUGACACAGUAGGAUAAGCUAACCGCACUGUUGGUUAUGUGCGGGCAAGUAUUGAGGCAGUUCUAAUAGGCAAAUCCGUUAGAAUAAUGCUAGGGUACGAUGCGGAGCGAAAUUUAGUAGCGAAGUAGCUGAUUUCACACUGUCGAGAAAAGUCUCUAUCGAGGUUAAAGGUGCCUGUACCGCAAACCGACACAGGUGGGUGAGGAGAGUAUCCUAAGGCCAGCGAGAGAACUGUUGUUAAGGAACUCGGCAAAAUGACCCCGUAACUUCGGGAGAAGGGGUGCCUUCGAAAGAAGGCCGCAGAGAAUAGGCCCAAGCGACUGUUUACCAAAAACAUAGGUUUCUGCUAAGUCGCAAGACGAUGUAUAGGAGCUGACGCCUGCCCGGUGCUGGAAGGUUAAGGGGAUCUGUUAGAGCAAUCGAAGCAGUGAACUUAAGCCCCAGUAAACGGCGGCCGUAACUAUAACGGUCCUAAGGUAGCGAAAUUCCUUGUCGGGUAAGUUCCGACCCGCACGAAAGGCGUAACGAUUUGGGCACUGUCUCAACAACAGACUCGGUGAAAUUGUAAUACCGGUGAAGAUGCCGGUUACCUGCGACAGGACGGAAAGACCCCAUGGAGCUUUACUGUAGCUUGACAUUGAGUCUCGGUGCUACAUGUACAGGAUAGGUGGGAGACUAUGAAGCAUGGACGUCAGUCUGUGUGGAGUCAUCCUUGGGAUACCACCCUUGUAGUACUGGGAUUCUAACCAG
rnacentral:rRNA from 1 species